AACGCUGGCGGCGUGCUUAACACAUGCAAGUCGUACGGUAAGGCCCUUUCGGGGGUACACGAGUGGCGAACGGGUGAGUAACACGUGAGUAACCUGCCCACAACUUUGGGAUAACGCUAGGAAACUGGUGCUAAUACUGGAUAUGUGCCCCUGCUGCAUGGUGGGGGUUGGAAAGCUCCGGCGGUUGUGGAUGGACUCGCGGCCUAUCAGCUUGUUGGUGGGGUAGUGGCCUACCAAGGCGGCGACGGGUAGCCGGCCUGAGAGGGUGACCGGCCACAUUGGGACUGAGAUACGGCCCAGACUCCUACGGGAGGCAGCAGUGGGGAAUAUUGCACAAUGGGCGCAAGCCUGAUGCAGCAACGCCGCGUGCGGGAUGACGGCCUUCGGGUUGUAAACCGCUUUCAGCAGGGACGAAGCUUUUUGUGACGGUACCUGCAGAAGAAGCACCGGCUAACUACGUG
rnacentral:rRNA from 1 species